rnacentral:rRNA from 1 species
GAUGAACGCUGGCGGCGUGCCUAAUACAUGCAAGUCGAGCGAACAGAUAAGGAGCUUGCUCCUUUGACGUUAGCGGCGGACGGGUGAGUAACACGUGGGUAACCUACCUAUAAGACUGGGAUAACUUCGGGAAACCGGAGCUAAUACCGGAUAACAUUUGGAACCGCAUGGUUCUAAAGUGAAAGAUGGUUUUGCUAUCACUUAUAGAUGGACCCGCGCCGUAUUAGCUAGUUGGUAAGGUAACGGCUUACCAAGGCAACGAUACGUAGCCGACCUGAGAGGGUGAUCGGCCACACUGGAACUGAGACACGGUCCAGACUCCUACGGGAGGCAGCAGUAGGGAAUCUUCCGCAAAGGGCGAAAGCUUGACGGAGCAACGCCGCGUGAGUGAUGAAGGGUUUCGGCUCGUAAAACUCUGUUAUUAGGGAAGAACAAACGUGUAAGUAACUGUGCACGUCUUGACGGUACCUAAUCAGAAAGCCACGGCUAACUACGUG